AUUGAACGCUGGCGGCAGGCCUAACACAUGCAAGUCGAACGAGUGGCGGACGGGUGAGUAAUGUCUGGGAAACUGCCUGAUGGAGGGGGAUAACUACUGGAAACGGUAGCUAAUACCGCAUACCAUCGGAUGUGCCCAGAUGGGAUUAGCUAGUAGGUGGGGUAAAGGCUCACCUAGGCGACGAUCCCUAGCUGGUCUGAGAGGAGGACCAGGCACACUGGAAAUGAGCCACGGUCCAGACUCCUACGGUAGGCAUCAUGGGGGAAUAUUGCACAAGGGGCGCAAGCCUGAUGCAGCCAUGCCGCGUGUAUGAAGAAGGCCUUCGGGUUGUAAAGUACUUGCAGCGGGGAGGCGUUACCCGCAGAAGAAGCACCGGCUAACUCCGUGCCAGCAGCCGCGGUAAUUC
rnacentral:rRNA from 1 species